CCAAUAGCGUAUAUUAAAGUUGUUGCAGUUAAAAAGCUCGUAGUUGAAUUUCGGGAUCAGUAGGUUGGUCGUGCCACCGGUACGUACUGGUCUCACUGGUUCCUCCUUCCUGAUGAACUGUAAUGCCAUUCAUUUGGUGUUGCGGGGAAUCUGGACUGUUACUUUGAAAAAAUUAGAGUGUUUAAAGCAGGCUAACGCUUGAAUACAUUAGCAUGGAAUAAUGAAAUAGGACGUUCGAUCCUAUUUUGUUGGUUUCUAGGAUUGACGUAAUGAUUAAUAGGGAUAGUUGGGGGCAUUAGUAUUCAAUUGUCAGAGGUGAAAUUCUUGGAUUUAUUGAAGACUAACUACUGCGAAAGCAUUUGCCAAGGAUGUUUUCAUUAAUCAAGAACGAAAGUUAGGGGAUCGAAGACGAUCAGAUACCGUCGUAGUCUUAACCAUAAACUAUGCCGACUAGGGAUCGGAUGAUGUUAAUUUUUUAAUGACUCAUUCGGCGCCUUACG
rnacentral:rRNA from 1 species